GUCCGGUUCCUGUUGCUCAUCCUUAUUUUCUGUGAAAUAUUUGAUAUUAUGGUUGGUCUCUCUGUCAUUUUUGAUCUCGCUUUUGAAGUUUAUGAGAUUCCUUCGUUAUUUGCUACCAUCAUAUUUACAACUACUGGGUCGAUGCCACUGCUGAUGGAGUUUUUAUUCCCCGAGGGUAUCACCAACCCCGUAUUUAGCACUUCUGUGUUGACAUGAACUAUCAUUGAUAUGAUCAUAGUUCACUGUUUACAGAACUUAAAUUUUUGAAAUACAAAGGCUCUUCUACAUCAGGAAUAGAUUACCUUAGCUGUAUUUGGCAUAACUUUUAGGCAUUUUUUGUCCUCAAUGCUCUUGAACCUCGUACUUUAUCAACUUUUUAACUUUUUUUUAUUUGAGCUACAUUAAUGAUUUAAUGUAGGAAGAUAUGGUAUGAGUGCCAAUGAGACAACUCUCCAUCCAAGUCUUUUGUAGACGAAUGCGCGGCUGGCGUAAAUACAAAGAUUUCAAUCCUAGUUUCUAUGAUGAGUUUAUUUGUCUCUUUCUAAUCGAUUUACGAGAUUUUAACAUCGGUUAACUACUGUCAACUUACUAUAUUUGAUUGAUAAUUUUGUAUCCCCCCUCC
rnacentral:lncRNA from 1 species